GUCAAUGAUGAUUUGUCCACGGUUUGAGAUUAGUAAUUAGUUUCAAGACCCUGUUUUCAGGGAGAACCUCCUUGAGGCUGCUACGUACAUCAUAAUAUAUAUGAACUUACUGGAC